rnacentral:tRNA from 1 species
AAACAUGAAGCAAUAAAUGCAAUUAGUUUCGACCUAAUCUUAGAUAUCUAUUUAUCCUUGUUUA